UACGAAGGGUGCAAGCGUUAAUCGGAAUUACUGGGCGUAAAGCGUGCGUAGGCGGUGACUUAAGUCUGUUGUGAAAUCCCCGGGCUCAACCUCGAGACGUCGGCGGAAACCAUCUGGCUAGAGUCCGGAAGAGGAGAGUGGAAUUCCUGGUGUAGCGGUGAAAUGCGCAGAUAUCAGGAAGAACACCCGUGGCGAAGGCGGCUCUCUGGGACGGUACUGACGCUGAGACGCGAAAGCGUGGGGAGCGAACAGG
rnacentral:rRNA from 1 species